rnacentral:rRNA from 1 species
CCUACGGGGUGCAGCAGUGAGGAAUAUUGGUCAAUGGGCGCGAGCCUGAACCAGCCAAGUAGCGUGAAGGAUGACUGCCCUAUGGGUUGUAAACUUCUUUUAUAAAGGAAUAAAGCGAGGCACGUGUGCCUUUUUGUAUGUACUUUAUGAAUAAGGAUCGGCUAACUCCGUGCCAGCAGCCGCGGUAAUACGGAGGAUGCGAGCGUUAUCCGGAUUUAUUGGGUUUAAAGGGUGCGGAGAUGGGUUGUUAAGUUAGUUGUGAAAGUUAGGGGCUCAACCCAAAAAUUGCAAUUGAUACUGGCAGUCUUGAGUACAGUUGAGGUAGGCGGAAUUCAUGGUGGAGCGGUGAAAUGCUUAGAUAUCACGAAGAACCCCGAUUGCGAAGGCAGCUUACUAAACUGUGACUGACAUUGAUGCUCGAAAGUGUGGGUAUCAAACAGGAUUAGAUACCCGAGUAGUC